CCUCCGACUCGUUCCCACUGCCAGUUUUCGCUGCAAAGCAACUUUGAAAACAUCUUUUCAACUUCGAGUCGAUGGCUCUCCUGAGCCACGUCAAAUUACUCACAACUUUCAGCGAUGGAUGUCUCGGUUCGAUCAACGAUGAAGGGCGCAGCGAAGUGCGAUAAGCAUUGUGAAUUGCAGAAUUCCGUGAACCGACAGGGACUUGAACGCAUAUUGUGCUUUUGGGAUAUCCCUGAAAGCAUGCCUGCUUCAGUGUCUACGCUUUGUUGUUCCAGCAGCUGUAGCCCCUUGCGGGGCAUGCUGCUUGUGAUCUCUUGCGCCUCAGGACGUGCUCUCUCGGUGCUCUUGAGGUGUUCGAUGGACAAGGCUCUGCUUCGACAGCCAGCUUACUGAGCGCACUUCGGUGUCAUUUGGUUGCUGUGCGACGUUGGGGCUUCGGGCUUUGCUCUCCUUUUCCUGUUACGCUCCUCACAGGGCGUUUCAGCAUUCAAGACAUGAAGUCAGGUUGGCAAACCCGCUGAAUUU
rnacentral:rRNA from 1 species